GUGACCCCAGGAUGGGCGAGGCCACCCGCCGAGUUUAAG
rnacentral:rRNA from 33 species